rnacentral:misc_RNA from 1 species
AGAAAUUAUGGUUCUCUUGACACAAUUGGACCUACCAAGGUUAUUUUGGAGAAAGAUUUGGGCAGUGUUUAUUCAUCUCAAUUAUCAGAGAUUGAUCAUACAGUUAAGAAGUAUGCUGAUAAUCUUCUACAUGCAGUGGAGGGAGUGAGUGCUCGCCUAUCACAGUUGGAGACUAGAAAUCGCCAGAUUGAUAACUCUAUUGAUGAACUCAAGUUGUCCGUUGGUAACAACCAUGGUGUCACUGAUGGAAAACUGAGACAACUAGAAAAUAUUCUCAGAGAGGUGCAAGAUGGUGUUCAGGUGAUAAGAGAUAAACAAGAAAUAAUGGAUGCUCAGUUGCAGCUCAUGAAAUCACAAGCUCCAAAGAUUGAGCAGCAAGCGGAAACCCAUAGUACUACACAUACAGAUUCAUCCCAACCUACAACUGCUCCUCUUCAUUCUCACCAGCAAUUUCCUCCUGUUGCUCUUACACAACAACCUUCUACCCUAGCUCCUCCACCCCCUCAACAGAAUCUGCCAUACCAAGUUCAACUUCAGAACCAGUUUCCCCAUAAUCCUAUUCCCUCCCAUCCUCAGCCAGAAGCUUAUUACCCACCAGCUGGUCAAGCACCAGAAAACUUAGGUCAUCAGUACCAAUCGCCUGUAGCACAGCAGCAUCAACCUUCCCCACCACCUCCUCAUCAACAACAUCAGUCCACCCCUCAGCCUAUCUACUCUCAGCCACCUCCACCUGCUCAACCACAUCUCCCUCAUCCCUCGCAACCUCAACCUCAACCUCAACCU